rnacentral:ncRNA from 1 species
GCAAAGCCGUCGAAAGGCGGCGACGCAAAGCUAUGAGUCUACGGCAGGCUGCUGCUAAGAUUGUCAGGCUGCAAA